AAGCAAAGCCGCGAGGUAGAGCAAAUCUCAAAAAAACAAUCUCAGUUCAGACUGCAGGCUGCAACUCGCCUGCACGAAGUUGGAAUUGCUAGUAAUCGUAGGUCAGCAUACUACGGUGAAUACGUUCCCGGGCCUUGUACACACCGCCCGUCAAACCAUGAGAGUUGGCAACACCCGAAGUCGGUAGUCUAACCGCAAGGAGGACGCCGCCGAAGGUGGGGUUGAUGAUUAGGGUUAAGUCGUAACAAGGUAUC
rnacentral:rRNA from 1 species